UACCAGCAGCCCCGAGUGGUCGGGACGUUUAUUGGGCCUAAAGCAUCCGUAGCCGGUUCUACAAGUCUUCCGUUAAAUCCGAGCUGCCUUAACAGAGUGGGCUGACGGGAAGAUACUAUGGAGCUAGGAGGCGGGAGAGGCAAAGCGGUACUCGAUGGGAUAGGGGUAAAAUCCGUUGAUCCGAUUGAAGACCACCAGUGGCGAAGGCGGCUUGCCAGAACGCGCUCGACGGUGAGGGAUGAAAGCUGGGGGAGCCAAACCGGG
rnacentral:rRNA from 1 species